GGGGAAUAUUGGACAAUGGGCGAACGCCUGAUCCAGCCAUGCCGCGUGUGUGAAGAAGGUCUUCGGAUUGUAAAGCACUUUAAGUUGGGAGGAAGGGCAGUAAGUUAAUACCUUGCUGUUUUGACGUUACCAACAGAAUAAGCACCGGCUAACUUCGUGCCAGCAGCCGCGGUAAUACGAAGGGUGCAAGCGUUAAUCGGAAUUACUGGGCGUAAAGCGCGCGUAGGUGGUUCAGCAAGUUGGAUGUGAAAUCCCCGGGCUCAACCUGGGAACUGCAUCCAAAACUACUGAGCUAGAGUACGGUAGAGGGUGGUGGAAUUUCCUGUGUAGCGGUGAAAUGCGUAGAUAUAAGGAAGAACACCAGUGGCGAAGGCGGAUUACUGGACGACAACUGACGGUGAGGCGCGAAAGCGUGGGGAGCAAACA
rnacentral:rRNA from 1 species